rnacentral:misc_RNA from 1 species
AAGACUAUAGACCUGCGGAGUACCUGCGGAGGGAUCAUUACCGAGUUUACAACUCCCAAACCCAAUGUGAACGUUACCAAACUGUUGCCUCGGCGGGGUCACGCCCCGGGUGCGUCGCAGCCCCGGAACCAGGCGCCCGCCGGAGGAACCAACCAAACUCUUUCUGUAGUCCCCUCGCGGACGUUAUUUCUUACAGCUCUGAGCAAAAAUUCAAAAUGAAUCAAAACUUUUAACAAUGGA